rfam:Clostridium sp. CAG:510 genomic scaffold, scf38
AGACACCAGAGUAAUAAGCCGGGAAUUCAGGCUGUGCUUGCACAAGCCUGGAUUUUCGGCUUCAUUACCCGCCCCGGAAUGAGCAUAAAAGGGGAGCGUAAGCGCCCCGAUAUGCGAAUUGCGGGCAGGAUUGCGGGAGGGCAAAGCCCGGAGCAAUCCGCAUGGUGUCG